rnacentral:rRNA from 1 species
UACGGGGGAUGCAAGCGUUGUCCGGAAUCAUUGGGCGUAAAGAGUUCGUAGGUGGUUUAUUAAGUCUGGUGUUAAAUGCAGAGGCUCAACUUCUGUUCGGCACUGGAUACUGGUAGACUUGAAUGCGAUAGAGGUAAAGGGAAUUCCUGGUGUAGCGGUGAAAUGCGUAGAUAUCAGGAGGAACAUCGGUGGCGAAAGCGCUUUACUGGGCCGUAAUUGACACUGAGGAAACGAAAGCCAGGGUAGCAAAUGGG